AGUCUCUUUGCUAAAGAAAUUAGUCAAAGUUAAAAAGUUGUUUGGUAGCCAGUACUAUGGCUGUGACCCUGUAUGUCCUGUUGAUGAAGUUAGGUGCUGUUCUGAGCAUUAUUUGUGGCUAUAGAGUGGCGUUUUGGUUGAGCGCGUGGCUCCUGGGACCGCUGUGUAUUGCUAUCCUGCCGUUGUUACUAAAGUUGGAAUAACUAGAGAAACAAGUGGUUGGCAACAUUCAUCUCUCGAGGAGGGGUGUCUAACUCGGUGUUACAGUGUAUUUGACUCUAAACUAGUUUUACGCCAGAAUAUUCCUUUAACCACCAUCAGGGACACUUUUAAGAUCAUUUUAAAUUUCAAGGCAUCAAGACAGACGUUUCACCCAAACUUGUCAGGACUUUUCCCAUCAGCCCCUGUAACAUUUAAAAAAAAAAAAAGGUGCAAAACCACAAUUUCUUUUCUUCUCAUGGAGGCUCGUCAGCAGCAGAGUCCAGCUCUGUCUUUAGGUAUCCAGGUCAUCUGGCUAAUAUACUGACUGAGUGCUACCCCAACAAUGUCAGCCUUUGUUAACUUUGGAGGGCUAAGCCUGACCUCUGACAGUAAACACACCAGGGUGGAAACCAUCACCAUGGCGAUGGUGUGGACCCCCUGCCAGUGCCAGGGGCCAGUUGGGCCCUCAUGUCCUGCCUUGUCAACCCCUUCUCUGGUACAUGGGAGGUCCCUAAGGGUCGGAUCUCCCCCCCGCUGCCCCUUCAGGAGCUGACCCCUAGGUCCGGGACCUGCCUGGGACGAGGGGUGUCCUUGGCUCCUGGGCCUAUAAAAAGGAUCUUGAAAGAGGACUUUGGAGAGGGGUUAUGAGGUGUAACUGUCUCUGUGUUUGGAGGAUAUUCUUACGAGGACAGUCUGACUACAAAGGGGCCAAUAAGAGAGACGGGCGUAAAUCACUUUUAUGAAUGGUUACUUUUUUUUAUCGUUUACUGCUUCUUUUAGGGCGUGUGCACAAAACAAACAAAAGUACGGUGGCCCUGAAGUGCAAAAAAUUACAAAUCACAGAGAAAGCUUACAUAACACAAAGAAAACAAAACAAAUCCGGAAUAUAUAAACAAACCAGAAAAAAAAGGUAAAGUCAUAAAA
rnacentral:lncRNA from 1 species